CGACCCCAGGUCCAAGGUGGAAAAACCCCCUGAGUCGAAGCAUAUCAAU
rnacentral:rRNA from 1 species